GACGAACGCUGGCGGCGUGCUUAACACAUGCAAGUCGAACGGAAAGGCCCUGCUUUUGUGGGGUGCUCGAGUGGCGAACGGGUGAGUAACACGUGAGUAACCUGCCCUUGACUUUGGGAUAACUUCAGGAAACUGGGGCUAAUACCGGAUAGGAGCUCCUGCUGCAUGGUGGGGGUUGGAAAGUUUCGGCGGUUGGGGAUGGACUCGCGGCUUAUCAGCUUGUUGGUGGGGUAGUGGCUUACCGAGGCUUUGACGGGUAGCCGGCCUGAGAGGGUGACCGGCCACAUUGGGACUGAGAUACGGCCCAGACUCCUACGGGAGGCAGCAGUGGGGAAUAUUGCACAAUGGGCGGAAGCCUGAUGCAGCAACGCCGCGUGCGGGAUGGCGGCCUUCGGGUUGUAAACCGCUUUCGCCUGUGACGAAGCGUGAGUGACGGUAAUGGGUAAAGAAGCACCGGCUAACUACGUG
rnacentral:rRNA from 1 species